UAAUACGGGGGAUGCGAGCGUUAUCCGGAUUUAUUGGGUUUAAAGGGCGCGUAGGCGGGACGUCAAGUCAGCGGUAAAAGACUGCAGCUAAACUGUAGCACGCCGUUGAAACUGGCGCCCUGGAGACGAGACGAGGGAGGCGGAACAAGUGAAGUAGCGGUGAAAUGCAUAGAUAUCACUUGGAACCCCGAUAGCGAAGGCAGCUUCCCAGGCUCGUUCUGACGCUGAUGCGCGAGAGCGUGGGUAGCGAACAGGAUUAGAUACCCUGGUAGUCCACGCCGUAAACGAUGCUCACUGGAUCUUGGCGAUACACUGCCAGGGUUCAAGCGAAAGUAUUAAGUGAGCCACCUGGGGAGUACGUCGGCAACGAUG
rnacentral:rRNA from 1 species